rnacentral:rRNA from 1 species
GGCGGACGGGUGAGUAACGCGUAAAGAACUUGCCCUUUAGACUGGGAUAACAGAGGGAAACUUCUGAUAAUACUGGAUAAGUUAGUAUAUCGCAUGAUAUGCAAAUGAAAGCUACGGCACUAAAGGAGAGCUUUGCGUCCUAUUAGCUAGUUGGUAAGGUAAUAGCUUACCAAGGCGAUGAUAGGUAGCCGGCCUGAGAGGGUGGACGGCCACAAGGGGACUGAGAUACGGCCCUUACUCCUACGGGAGGCAGCAGAG